rnacentral:rRNA from 1 species
GACGAACGCUGGCGGCGCGCUUAACACAUGCAAGUCGAGCGAGAACCAGGGCUUCGGCCCUGGGGACAGCGGCGAACAGGUGAGUAACACGUGGGUAAUCUGCCCUCGGCACCGGAAUAGCCCGGGGAAACCCGGAUUAAUGCCGGAUGGCCCCUUCACCUCGCGAGGUGUCGGGAAAAGGUAGCUUCGGCCUCUGGCCGAGGAUGAGCCCGCGGCGGAUUAGCUUGUUGGCGGGGUAACGGCCCACCAAGGCGACGAUCCGUAGCUGGUCUGAGAGGACGAUCAGCCACACGGGGACUGAGACACGGCCCAGACUCCUACGGGAGGCAGCAGUGGGGAAUCUUGCGCAAUGGGCGAAAGCCUGACGCAGCGACGCCGCGGGAGGGAAGAAGGCCUUCGGGUUGUAAACCUCUUUCAGGAGGGACGAAGCUACUCGGGUGAAUAGCCCAGAGGGUGACGGUACCUCCAGAAGAAGCCCCGGCUAACUACGUGCCAGCAGCCGCCGUAACAC